rnacentral:rRNA from 1 species
GACGAACCGAGCGAACGUUGUUCGGAAUCACUGGGCUUAAAGGGCGCGUAGGCGGGCUGUCAAGUUUGGGGUGAAAUCCCGCGGCUCAACCGUGGAACUGCCUUAAAUACUGACGGUCUCGAGGGGGAUAGGGGCGAGCGGAACUGAUGGUGGAGCGGUGAAAUGCGUUGAUAUCAUCAGGAACUCCGGUGGCGAAGGCGGCUCGCUGGAUCCCUUCUGACGCUGAGGCGCGAAAGCCAGGGGAGCAAACGGGAUUAG